rnacentral:rRNA from 1 species
UGCCAGCCGCCGCGGUAAUACGGAGGGUGCAAGCGUUGUCCGGAUUUAUUGGGUUUAAAGAGUCCGUAGGCGGCUUUAAAGGUCAGGUGUGAAAUCCCACGGCUCAACCGUGGAACUGCGCUUGAAACCAUAAAGCUAGAGGGAGAUAGAGGUGAGCGGAACUGAUGGUGGAGCGGUGAAAUGCGUUGAUAUCAUCAGGAACACCUGUGGCGAAAGCGGCUCACUGGGUCUCUUCUGACGCUGAGGGACGAAAGCUAGGGUAGCGAACGGGAUUAGAUA